UACAGGACGAACGCUGGCGGCGUGCUUAAUACAUGCAAGUCAACUUGACUUUAGAUAGCAAUAUCGAAAGUAGGGUGGCGCACGGGUGCGUAACGCGUAGGUAAUCUGCCCUGAGGUCUGACAUAACCCGUCGAAAGGCGGGCUAACAUCAGAUGAUAUAUAAUCACGACAUCGUGGAAAUAUCAAAUCUUCGGAGCCUUGGGAUGAGCCUGCGUCUGAUUAGGUAGUUGGCGGAGUAAUAGCCCACCAAGCCUACGAUCAGUAGCUGGUCUGAGAGGAUGAUCAGCCACACUGGAACUGAGACACGGUCCAGACUCCUACGGGAGGCAGCAGUAAGGAAUAUUGCUCAAUGGGGGAAACCCUGAAGCAGCAACGCCGCGUGAAGGAUGAAAUACUUUUGUAUGUAAACUUCUGUAAGAUGGGAAAAAUAUUCUCCUCGGGAGAAUUGAUUGUACCAUCAGAGUAAGCCCCGGCUAACUACGUG
rnacentral:rRNA from 1 species